GGGCGCAAGCCUGAUGCAGCGACGCCGCGUGAGGGAUGGAGGCCUUCGGGUUGUAAACCUCUUUUAUCGGGGAGCAAGCGUGGGUGAGUUUACCCGUUGAAUAAGCACCGGCUAACUACGUGCCAGCAGCCGCGGUAAUACGUAGGGUGCAAGCGUUAUCCGGAAUUAUUGGGCGUAAAGGGCUCGUAGGCGGUUCGUCGCGUCCGGUGUGAAAGUCCAUCGCUUAACGGUGGAUCCGCGCCGGGUACGGGCGGGCUUGAGUGCGGUAGGGGAGACUGGAAUUCCCGGUGUAACGGUGGAAUGUGUAGAUAUCGGGAAGAACACC
rnacentral:rRNA from 1 species